AUGCACCUUGAGCCAUAGUGGAAACUCCAGAAGGAAGCGAGCCCUCCUCUUGAAAUCAGCAUGGACACACUGAGAACGCCUAUGAAAAGGCCACAGUGAUGAAAAGGCAGAGCCAACUACAUGAAGCCACCGGCCUGCCUUCAGCCUCCCUUGUCAAAGCAUCAUUUAGAAAUCCUUUUGGGAUCCUUUCUCCAAAUGUUCUGUGCAGUAUUAGUGGGAAGAGCCCUGUAGAGAACAGCUUGAAAGUUAAAGCCAAAAAGAAUGUGCCGUCUGCAGCGGUGAAGACGGACUGACUGUCUAGGAGCUGGGCUAUUGUCAAACCUGGAAACACGAGGGAGAAAAUUGCAUUCUUUGCAGCCCACCAAUGUAGCAAUAGGAUAGGCUCUAUGAAAAUAAAAAGUUCCUAGGAUAUCGAUGGGAGAGCCACUAAAAGAAGGAAAAAAAUCAGGGGAUCUUAAGAAAGCCAAGUUACAGCUAGAAAUGAGAGAUAUCAACAGCCAGUGCUAGCAGUCUGAGCCGUUCGCAUGUGGUGUCGUGUACUAUUCUGUGCAUUACAUGAGUGACAGUAGGGACAGGUUCUGUUCUGCGAGGCCUCUGUCAGUGAUACAGAUGGUUGCCUUCCUCAAGCAGAGAGCUACUGCUCUGCUAGCUAGCUGCACACAAAAAAAUGCACAAAUUCGCCUGCCAUUGUGAAAAUUUCUGACCAGUCCCAGGGUAUGUCACUCUGCUCCAGAAACUUAUGAAUGACCCAAGGAAAGAGAAAAUCCCGAGACUGGCAGAUCCCAGGGUGAGGAGAUUCGUGUCCUUGACAUGGUAGCCAGGAUGGAGUCUGAGUGCUUGAAGCACCAGGGCCAGAGGGAACCCGGGAGCUUGUCAGGGAAUAACAGCUUCCGUCGAAAUGUAGGCAGGGUGUUGCUCACAAAUGGUUCCUCAGGCCAUCGACAAAAAUGAAGAGGGCUCUGCUGACACACCCGACACUCAGGGGCACCCCUUGCAGCCGAUAUCUAUGGGUGAAGGACCCUCUGUAACUGAGCAUCGUUGUGCAAGGGAACAGGCCUGUGAUGGCACUUCUCAGAGCUGUCCCGCAUUGCCAGCCGGUGUGAGCUUCCACGGGGACAGCACAGAGGUGGACUCUCAGAAGUCACAGAGGUGGAGUCACAGAAGUCACAGAAGUCACAGAGGUGGAGUCACAAAAGUCACAGAGGUAGAGUCACAGAAGUCACAGAAGUCACAGAGGUGGAGUCACAGAAGUCACAGAGGUGGAGUCACAAAAGUCACAGAGGUGGAGUCACAAAAGUCACAGAGGUGGAGUCACAAAAGUCACAGAGGUGGAGUCACAGAAGUCACAGAAGUCACAGAGGUGGAGUCACAAAAGUCACAGAGGUGGAGUCACAAAAGUCACAGAGGUGGAGUCACAGAAGUCACAGAGGUGGAGUCACAGAAGUCACAGAGGUGGAGUCACAAAAGUCACAGAGGUGGAGUCACAGAAGUCACAGAAGUCACAGAGGUGGAGUCACAGAAGUCACAGAGGUGGAGUCACAAAAGUCACAGAGGUGGAGUCACAAAAGUCACAGAGGUAGAGUCACAGAAGUCACAGAAGUCACAGAGGUGGAGUCUCAGAAGCAGAGCCGGGUCAGCAAACAGCUGUGAAGAAUUGCAGCAGAGGGCUUUCCUGGUUGUAAGUUAGGCCUUCAUGAAGCUUUAACUGGGGCGAUCCAUAAGAAGUCAAGAGGGAGUGAGCGGGAAGAGGAGUACUGA
rnacentral:lncRNA from 1 species